rnacentral:rRNA from 1 species
UACGGGGGGGGCAAGCGUUGUUCGGAAUUACUGGGCGUAAAGGGCUCGUAGGUGGCCAACUAAGUCAUACGUGAAAUCCCUCGGCUUAACCGGGGAACUGCGUCUGAUACUGGAUGGCUUGAGGUUGGGAGAGGGAUGCGGAAUUCCAGGUGUAGCGGUGAAAUGCGUAGAUAUCUGGAGGAACACCAAUGGCGAAGGCAGCUCGCUGGGACGGUACUGACACUGAGACGCGAAAGCGUGGGGAGCAAACAGG